UUUCCGUAGGUGAACCUGCGGAAGGAUCAUUAUUGUAUAACCGAGGUGUGAUGGCUGUCGCUGUCCCGAAAGGUCGUGCACGCACGAUUUCCAUCACACUCAUCCAUCCCGCCCCUAUUAGCACCACCGCGAAGGUCUCACUUUGGCUUGUUCGGAGUGGGGCAUACGUUUUCACCCUAACUAUGUAUUCAGUGUAGAUUGUAUUUUUUGUUUUUGCGAUCACGCAAUCAUUACAACUACCAUCAACGGCUCACUUGUUUCUCGCAUCGAUGAAGAACA
rnacentral:misc_RNA from 1 species